CUUGAGUUAAUCACAUUCCUGUUGUCAGUGAUUGAUUUGGGAAUGGGAAUGUCACCCAAUUCUGACCAAUCACACAUGGGAGACUUCAGGGAAAUGUUCCCUUGCUCCUAAGAAAGAACAAAACGAGCUGCUGUCUCUUUCUCAGGGUGUUUUCAUGUCUGGAGAGGAUACCUGGAAAUGCCAAAGCCAUCUUGCCAUCGGCCUGAGAAUGGACCCAAUGACUGAGGAUGGAGGAACACAAAAUGGUGAAAAGGAAGAUCACUGCUGAAGAACGAGUUUUAAUGUAAAUUUCAGAAGACAUUUUACAAAGUGCAUGAACAUAUCAGCACUUUGGCUCUUUCUGUGGUCCAUCCGGGAGCAUGCAAUGUCCUUGACCCACAGAUGGUAAGUGUCCCCUGGCAACCAAAAGCUUGCAAACUGCCCCAAACUCCCCUCUUCAAUGUUUCCAGCAUCACUUAGGUCCUUUGAGUGAGGAAUUGACCAAUAUCUUAGGUGUCUGUGAAUGCAGAUUUUAUUUACAUUUGCAAAGGUAGUUUUGUGUGUUAAUGGAAGAUGAAAUAAACAUUAGAAAUCACAUUAUUCACAUGUGUCCACGGCUGCCCGAGUUUUGCACCUCUUGUGUGGUUGUUAAUCCUUGAUGUAAUGAGAAGAGUAAUGGAGGACGAUGGAUGUUGUAUUCUGUCUCUCUUGGUACAAGUCAUGCUGGGGAUUCUAUGAACACCCACAGCGUGUCGGAAAGAGCGACAUGACAUAUAUCUAGGGCUUCAGAAUAAGGCUGUUUCUGCUGUCUUAUUCACAGUGUAAUUUCUCGUAAGAGGGAGCAAAGACCCCAACAAGAUUUAAUUACUUGCACUGUGACAGGAACGGGUUAUUAGUUGUCCACCUGUAGUGAGGUCCACUUGGCCAGAAGACCCUGUGUGAAGAUAAAGAUGCACUAAGAUACAAUGUGCUAUACAAAUGUGGGCCGGGAGCUCAAUGUCGCAAUAAUUGAGAUGGAAUAUUAAUGAAAUGUUUGCCUGCCAAAGCUUUAACUCAGUUGGUAAGAAUAAUUUUAUGGCUUUUUUCUUAAUUAUAGAAGUAAAAUCAUAAUUGUAUGAUAUGUGAAUUAUAUC